rnacentral:rRNA from 1 species
UACGUAGGGCGCAAGCGUUGUCCGGAAUUAUUGGGCGUAAAGGGCUCGUAGGCGGCCAACUAAGUCCGACGUGAAAUCCCAAAGCUUAACUUUGGAACUGCGUCGGAUACUGGAUGGCUUGAAUUCGGGAGAGGGAUGCAGAAUUCCAGGUGUAGCGGUGAAAUGCGUAGAGAUGUGGAGGAACACCGAUGGCGAAGGCAGCCCCCUGGGUCAAGAUUGACGCUCAUGCACGAAAGCGUGGGGAGCAAACAAGG